rnacentral:rRNA from 1 species
AGAACGAACGCUGGCGGCAGGCUUAACACAUGCAAGUCGAACGCGUGUAGCAAUACACGAGUGGCGCACGGGUGAGUAACGCGUGGAUAUCUGCCUUUUGGUUCGGAAUAACCCCGGGAAACUGGGGCUAAUACCGGAUGGUUCCUACGGGAUAAAGAUUUAUCGCCAAAAGAUGAGUCCGCGUCCGAUUAGCUAGUUGGUGGGGUAAUGGCCUACCAAGGCGACGAUCGGUAGCUGGUCUGAGAGGACGAUCAGCCACACUGGGACUGAGACACGGCCCAGACUCCUACGGGAGGCAGCAGUGGGGAAUAUUGGACAAUGGGGGCAACCCUGAUCCAGCCAUGCCGCGUGAGUGAUGAAGGCCUUCGGGUUGUAAAGCUCUUUUGGCGGGACGAUGAUGACGGUACCCGCAGAAUAAGCCCCGGCUAACUUCGCGCCAGCAGCCGC